rnacentral:lncRNA from 1 species
AUGAGGUCAGGACCUAGCUGUGCCCUCCUACCCUGGGGACAGCCCACAGGCAGGUCAAAGCCUGCAUGGAACAAGGGGCUGGAGCGGGGACCCCUUAGAGAGUGUGGGCACAAUGCCUCUCCAUCCAUCCGGACAGGCCCUGUAAGUCCUCAGCUGUUCUGGGGUUGGCUCAUCAGCCUCUCUGAGGGUCUCUGGAACCCCCGGGGAGACUGCCCAGCACCGGUGCUAUCAUUAGUCACCACCUGGAAGGACGGCAGGAAGAAAGGACAGUCUCUGAAGACUCAGCCUUCUGCUGAAGAGACUGAACAGAGACCUGAGGGUAAUGCUUCAGUGAUCCCAUCAGACUGGAUUUACUGAGCUUAGGGAGAGUCCAUUCUGCAGAGCAGGGCUCCUGGGGGCAGCAGCUGAGGGAUGGAGACCUGCAGAGGAAGGGGGUAUUUGGGGUCCCCUGCCCAGGCCCUGUGUGCCCAAGACAGGUUCAUCCAGACUGCAGCUCCAGGGGGCAGAACCCCAAACCAUCCUAUUUCAUGCCUCCAGCACUUCUCUAAGUAUCAGAGGAUAGACGGGCUUCUGUAUUUCCUGGUUAUAAACUCCAUCCUUAAUCAUCACUCUCGCAGAAGAGUCUCACGGCUGCUCUCCAGAUCAGCACAGAAUAACGUGAUGGAUGGAGCUGCAGACCUGCUUCCUGGGACACGGGGACGCUGUGCCUAAUGAAGGAGAUGAAACAUUCAUGACCCUCAUGUUUCACUUCCAACCCAAAGCCUGGGGUGUUUCAUAAAUGUUAUUUUAUAUCAAAGCGUAUGGAAUCACUGUCCCAGGAGCAUUUGAUCAGUCAGAUAUUUCCUCUCUGGAGCGGCUCUUGGGAGAUCAGAGACACGUGUGCAGCCACACAGGACACGCACGUGCUGCGGGGAGGCCAAUGCCCUGCCUGGGCCGUUCUGCUGAGAACAGCCGGGGAAGGAAACCCUGUACUCUGCCCUGUUUCAUCAGCACCAGUGAUGUGUGUAAAAGGGUCCUCGAUGGAAUUUGAACAGACACGCGACCUUUGGAGAGAUCCAGUCCUCCCUGUGCUCUGGGGCACACAGAGAUGUACAGAUGUGAGAGUUGGACCAUAAAGAAAGCUGAGCACCAAAGAA